GUCUGAGCAAGGAGCGGCGGGAGGAGAGGAGAGCGCAGGAGAGCAGGGGGAGCCCGUCUCCCUGGGCCUUGAGCCUGAAAAGGUUGUGACUUUCAGCCAGAGAAGACUUCUUUGGUGGGAAGGAUAGCAUCCUCCGAGUACCCUGCUAUGUGGGCAGUCUGAAUUUAGUGGUGAAUGAGGUUCCUGUAGAGACCUGUAGGUAGCUGCUCACUUGGAGGUGAAUUAAGAAAAAGAACAAAAACUAUUCAUUUGGAUCCAAGGUAGGUAUGAAUAUAAGCUUGAUCACCCCUGCUGAUUGC
rnacentral:lncRNA from 1 species